rnacentral:rRNA from 1 species
CUACGUGCCAGCAGCCGCGGUAAUACGUAGGGUGCAAGCGUUAUCCGGAUUUAUUGGGCGUAAAGGGCUCGUAGGCGGCUCGUCGCGUCCGGUGUGAAAGUCCAUCGCUUAACGGUGGAUCCGCGCCGGGUACGGGCGGGCUUGAGUGCGGUAGGGGAGACUGGAAUUCCCGGUGUAACGGUGGAAUGUGUAGAUAUCGGGAAGAACACCAAUGGCGAAGGCAGGUCUCUGGGCCGUCACUGACGCUGAGGAGCGAAAGCGUGGGGAGCGAACAGGAUUAGAUACCCUGGUAGUCCACGCCGUAAACGGUGGAUGCUGGAUGUGGGGACCAUUCCACGGUCUCCGUGUCGGAGCCAACGCGUUAAGCAUCCCGCCUGGGGAGUACGGCCGCAAGGCUAAAACUCAAAGAAAUUGACGGGGGCCCGCACAAGCGGCGGAGCAUGCGGAUUAAUUCGAUGCAACGCGAAGAACCUUACCUGGGCUUGACAUGUUCCCGACAGCCCCAGAGAUGGGGCCUCCCUUCGGGGCGGGUUCACAGGUGGUGCAUGGUCGUCGUCAGCUCGUGUCGUGAGAUGUUGGGUUAAGUCCCGCAACGAGCGCAACCCUCGCCCUGUGUUGCCAGCACGUCGUGGUGGGAACUCACGGGGGACCGCCGGGGUCAACUCGGAGGAAGGUGGGGAUGACGUCAGAUCAUCAUGCCCCUUACGUCCAGGGCUUCACGCAUGCUACAAUGGCCGGUACA